CGUUUGGGAUGCUGGAACGUAUACCUCCAGAAUGACAAUAAAUCAUCUUUUCCAUGUUUCUCUUGCUAUUAAGCACCGGCCGACUACAGUCCUGGCAGAAGCGUAAGCUUCGUGAAAGAAAGGUCUCCGAAAUUCACGUUCGGUUUCAGGCUAAGACCGUCCAAGCCGUACAACUACGGUUACCCAGCACCGGGAGAGUACGAUCCCGACAGGGCGAACGAAUUGGUUUAUCCAAGGUCACCACGCUUCAGUAUUCGUUCGAGACUCAAGGAACGGCCACCGGACAACGCAACAUUUCCAGCACCAGGUACAUACGACCCCGACAAAGGCAAUCCUGCUAUGUUCGGAUUACCACCAAGACCUAAAUCGAGGAGCCCGAAGAGGUCUAGAUCUCAUGAUUUUGAAGAGAAGCGGGGAACGACAAUGCCUCAUGAAAGAACAAGCAAAAGAAGCAGUUCAUUCCGAAUUGUGAGAACCACAGAAAUACUGCUGGUGGUACGUGUGAUUUCAUUGUAUUUAAUGCAGUCAUGUGAGCCAACGGAUGGAAAUACAUUGUGGCACGAGUUUUAUGAAGAGAG